rnacentral:misc_RNA from 1 species
GGGGGGUUCAAUAAAUGUCCUGUCUU